UACGUAGGGGCGAGCGUUGUCCGAAGUUACUGGGCGUAAAGCGCGCGUAGGCGGCCAUCUAAGUCUGGGGUGAAAGGUUCAACGCUCAACGUGAACAGUGCCCUGGAUACUGGUUGGCUUGAGUUCGGGAGGGGCAGUGGAAUUCCGGGUGUAGCGGUGAAAUGCGUAGAUAUCGGGAGGAACACCAGUAGCGAAGGCGGCUCGCUGGGCCGUUCCUGACGCUGAGACGCGAAAGCUAGGGGA
rnacentral:rRNA from 1 species